rnacentral:rRNA from 1 species
UACGGAGGGAGCUAGCGUUAUUCGGAAUUACUGGGCGUAAAGCGUACGUAGGCGGCUUUGCAAGUUAGAGGUGAAAGCCUGGAGCUCAACUCCAGAACUGCCUUUAAAAACUGCAUCGCUUGAAUCCAGGAGAGGUGAGUGGAAUUCCGAGUGUAGAGGUGAAAUUCGUAGAUAUUCGCAAGAACACCAGUGGCGAAGGCGGCUCACUGGCCCGGUACUGACGCUGAGGUGCGAAAGCGUGGGGAGCAAACAGGG